AGCAGCCGCGGUAAUUCCAGCUCCAAUAGCGUAUAUUAAAGUUGUUGCAGUUAAAAAAGCUCGUAGUUGAAUUUCGGGACUAACAGAUUGGUCGCGCCUUUGGUGUGUACUGGUCUAGUUGGUUUCUCCCUUCUGAUGAACCACGAUGUCAUUAAUUUGGUGUCGUGGGGAAUCAGGACUGUUACUUUGAAAAAUUAGAGUGUUUAAAGCAGGCAUUAGCUUGAAUACAUUAGCAUGGAAUAAUGAAAUAGGACGUUUGAUCUUAUUUUGUUGGUUUCUAGGAUCGACGUAAUGAUUAAUAGGGAUAGUUGGGGGGCAUUAGUAUUCAAUUGUCAGAGGUGAAAUUCUUGGAUUUAUUGAAGACUAACUACUGCGAAAGCAUUUGC
rnacentral:sRNA from 1 species